UCAGUCCUACGGGGGGCAGCAGUGGGGAAUAUUGCACAAUGGGGGAAACCCUGAUGCAGCAACGCCGCGUGAGUGAAGAAGUAUUUCGGUAUGUAAAGCUCUAUCAGCAGGGAAGAAGAUGACGGUACCUGAAUAAGAAGCCCCGGCUAACUACGUGCCAGCAGCCGCGGUAAUACGUAGGGGGCGAGCGUUGUCCGGAAUCACUGGGCGUAAAGGGCGCGUAGGCGGUUUAAUAAGUCAGUGGUGAAAACUGAGGGCUCAACCCUCAGCCUGCCACUGAUACUGUUAGACUUGAGUAUGGAAGA
rnacentral:rRNA from 1 species